rnacentral:rRNA from 1 species
UGGGGAAUUUUGGACAAUGGGCGAAAGCCUGAUCCAGCAAUGCCGCGUGUGUGAAGAAGGCCUUCGGGUUGUAAAGCACUUUUGUCCGGAAAGAAAUCCUUGGCUCUAAUACAGUCGGGGGAUGACGGUACCGGAAGAAUAAGCACCGGCUAACUACGUGCCAGCAGCCGCGGUAAUACGUAGGGUGCAAGCGUUAAUCGGAAUUACUGGGCGUAAAGCGUGCGCGGGCGGUUUGCUAAGACCGAUGUGAAAUCCCCGGGGCUCAACCUGGGAACUGCAUUGGUGACUGGCAGGCUAGAGUAUGGCAGAGGGGGGUAGAAUUCCACGUGUAGCAGUGAAAUGCGUAGAGAUGUGGAGGAAUACCGAUGGCGAAGGCAGCCCCCUGGGCCAAUACUGACGCUCAUGCACGAAAGCGUGGGGAGCAAAACAGGAUUAGAUACCCUGGUAGUCCACGCCCUAAACGAUGUCAACUAGUUGUUGGGGAUUCAUUUCCUUAGUAACGUAGCUAACGCGUGAAGUUGACCGCCUGGGGAGUACGGUCGCAAGAUUAAAACUCAAAGGAAUUGACGGGGUCAUAGCUGUUUCCU